rnacentral:tRNA from 1 species
GCACGGGUGUCCGAGUUUGGCCAAAGGAGUAGGACUGAGGCUCCUAUGGUGCAGACCUGCGAGGGUUCAAAUCCCUUCCCGUGCA